GGAGUUGACUAGACAGUCGCUGCUUUACCGCUCUCCUUCGGGAGAUGUAAAGGGGAGGAAAGUCCGGGCUCCACAGGGCAGGGUGCCAGAUAACGUCUGGGGGGUGAAAGCCUACGACUAGUGCAACAGAGAGCAAACCGCCGAUGGCCUACUUUUGUUUGCAAAAAUAAGGGUGGGAUCAGGUAAGGGUGAAAGGGUGCGGUAAGAGCGCACCGCGCGGCUGGCAACAGUCCGUGGCACGGUAAACUCCACCCGGAGCAAGACCAAAUAGAGGUUCACAUGGUACGGCCCGUACUGAACCCGGGUAGGUUGCUUGAGCCAGCGCGCAAGUUCUGGCCUAGAUGAAUGAUUGUCCACGACAGAACCCGGCUUAUCGGUCAACUCCACCA
rfam:Xenorhabdus bovienii SS-2004 chromosome, complete genome